rnacentral:tRNA from 1 species
AAAAUACUAGUAAUAAUUUUAUUACAUUGCUUUGUCAAGGCAAAAUUGUGGGUUAAAAUCCCACGUAUUUUA